rnacentral:rRNA from 1 species
UACGUAGGGGGCAAGCGUUGUUCGGAUUUACUGGGCGUAAAGAGCGUGUAGGCGGCCAAACAGGUCCGUUGUGAAAACUGGAGGCUUAACCUCCAGACGUCGACGGAAACCGUGUGGCUAGAGUCCGGAAGAGGAGAGUGGAAUUCCUGGUGUAGCGGUGAAAUGCGUAGAUAUCUGGAGGAACACCGGUGGCGAAGGCGGCAUCCUGGACCGGUAUUGACGCUGAGGAGCGAAAGCCAGGGGAGCAAAGCGGGG